GAUGAACGCUGGCGGCGUGCCUAAUACAUGCAAGUCGAGCGAACAGAUAAGGAGCUUGCUCCUUUGACGUUAGCGGCGGACGGGUGAGUAACACGUGGGUAACCUACCUAUAAGACUGGAAUAACUCCGGGAAACCGGGGCUAAUGCCGGAUAACAUUUAGAACCGCAUGGUUCUAAAGUGAAAGAUGGUUUUGCUAUCACUUAUAGAUGGACCCGCGCCGUAUUAGCUAGUUGGUAAGUUAACGGCUUACCAAGGCAACGAUACGUAUCCGACCUGAGAGGGUGAUAGGCCACACUGGAACUGAGACACGGUCCAGACUCCUACGGGAGGCAGCAGUAGGGAACCUUCCGCAAUGGGCGAAAGCCUGACGGAGCAACGCCGCGUGAGUGAUGAAGGUCUUCGGAUCGUAAAACUCGGUUAUUAGGGAAGAACAAAUGUGUAAGUAACUGUGCACGUCUUGACGGUACCUAAUCAGAAAGCCACGGCUAACUACGUG
rnacentral:rRNA from 1 species